AUUGAACGCUGGCGGCAGGCCUAACACAUGCAAGUCGCACGAGUGGCGGACGGGUGAGUAAUGUCUUGGAAACUGCCUGAUGGAGGGGGCUAACUACUGGAAACGGUAGCUCAUACCGCAUACCAUCGGAUGUGCCCAGAUGGGAUUAGCUAGUAGGUGGGGUAACGGCUCACCUAGGCCACGAUCCCUAGCUGGUCUGAGAGGAUGACCAGCAACACGGGAACUGAGAAACGGGACAGACUCCUACGGGAGGCAGCAGUGGGGAAUAUGGCACAAUGGGCGCAAGCAUGAUGCAGACAUGCCGCGUGUAUGAAGAAGGCCUUCGGGUUGGAAAGUACUUUCAGCGGGGAGGCGUUACCCGCAGAAGAAGCACCGGCUAACUCCGUGCCAGCAGCCGCGGUAAUAC
rnacentral:rRNA from 1 species